CCUAGAGGAGGUUUGAAGAGGAGAAAGAAUGUGAAGUGUACCAGUCCUUCUGAGACUGCCCUUCAUCUCAAAGCCCUGGGAAAUACAGUCACUGCUCAUUCAGGGCCCAAGUCCUGAGACAUCCCCACUGCCUCAGUGAGCUGGAGUCCACCUCUCCAUCCCUGUCUCCUCACCAUGCUGUUGUGGUUUGAUAUUGCCUCCAUAUUUAUUUUGCCUACAACAAUGUCUCUUCUUUUCACUUCUUAGAGGUGCUUCAGAGCACCUGUGCUCCUACACAGAUUUACCCACCAAGCUGUUACAUGGGAAGAGAGGCCUCCCUCAGCAGCAUGUGAUGCUCAUUAGCACUCACCAAGAGAGAAUAUUUCCCAGAGGAGGACCCCAAAGGACCAGACAUCACUCUGGCAGGAUAUUGCGAGCUGCUAGGUCUCUGUGGAUACACUGAGGGCACACAAAGAGGAAGAGGCAAAAUCAGAAGGACACCCUCAGAAAAAGCAGAGCAUCCUCCCCCCUUGUGAAUCUGAGCUCUACUGGGGGGAUGGUGUAAGUGGAAAGGGGCUAAAGAUAAAAAUAUCAGAUGGAGGUGGUUAAUGAGAGGGUGAAAUGGCAAGAGGACUAAUUUCCUAUCUUUGUAUACACAGGGCUAUCUCAGACUUCCUAACAAGUGUGAGGCAGAUCACUGAAUCCCUCUAUAUGUCACCUGUGAAGUGACAAACACACCACAAAAGAAGAGGGUAGUGAAGGAAAGGGUGAACUCACCUUUCGGGAUGCCAGGAAUUCCAUGCCACGUGCUACUUGGAAGCUGUAGCAGAUGAGGUCUUCCAUUGUCAAGGGACUUUGCCACAAGUCAUCCACUGUCCAGGAGUACAAUAAAAUGAUUAGACAGGGAGAGGUCUCCCAUGAGAGUUUUCUUCUCAAGUGGCAGAAAGUGCCACUAGAAAUGUUAGUAACCCCCUCAAGUGUGAGGGGCAUGAGCCCAGCCUCCAGCACACAUCAGAGUUUUGGGGAACAGGGCUAGAAGUGACCUUGAGAAUCAGCUCAUUGUUCCUGGGCUAGGCAGGACCCAGUGAGAUCUCCCUCACUUCUUUCUUUAGGCUAAAACCCAGGGUUUUAUUCCCUUCUGGGUUUUGAGAGUCUAUUAGAAGAGACAACAAAUGACUGUAAUAGUCCUGUUCAGGGAACUGCCAUGCAACAGUGGAGAAAGAAUCAGCUCCAAGGCUGGGCCCCAGCUCCCCACUGUCAUGCCAUACAUACCCACUCCCCAGGGCAGCCAAAUCUGGCAUGUUUUUGGCAAGCCAGGUGAGGGGUCCCUGCCAAGGCUGGAGUACUCACCUUCCUGGAUGGGCUGUGCUGUUGGGCUCUUGUGCAUCAGGAAGCGGUGGAAGAUGGCACUGUCACUGGUCCCAGAACGACUCCUCCUGUCUGCUCUCACUGCCUCCACGAUGGACUGGACCUGAAUACGAAGCCUGGGAGACUUUUCCUGACAAGAAGAUAAAAAAAAUCCAAAACAACCCAGCUCAGCAGGCUACACACACUGUAAGCCCUGCACCCACAAGCUGCAUGGUCUUUUCCUGUUCUUAGUAACUCCUGCCUGGAAGCAGCUAUCUUCCAUUGCAGAGAGAAAUUAUUUCCCUGAUGUGUACAUGAAUAAAGAUCACUGUGUGAAGUUG